rnacentral:rRNA from 1 species
CUGAUGCAGCCAUGCCGCGUGAGUGAUGAAGGCCUUCGGGUUGUAAAGCUCUUUUGUCAGGGACGAAAAUGACGGUACCUGGAGAAUAAGCCCCGGCUAGUUUCUUGACAGCAGCCGCGGUAAUACGAAGGGGGCUAGCGUUGUUCGGAAUUACUGGGCGUAAAGCGCACGUAGGCUGCUUGUUAAGUCAGGGGUGAAAUCCCGAGGCUCA